CUCCUUUCAGGGUCGCACCUGGAGAGUUUCCAGGACUCUACCAGUCUCAACUAUGGGAGGGAGAGUCAAGCAGAAGCAUAUCCAUUCCAUUCCUAGUUUGGGCAGUGGCUAAUGAUUGGAAAGCAAUCUGCUACAAAU
rnacentral:snoRNA from 2 species